rnacentral:rRNA from 1 species
AUGAGCAUAAACUUCAUUGAUGUUGUGCUUUUGAAUGAUGAUGAUGAAGUGAAUUGGAGUCUCACAGGGUUCUAUGGAUAUCCAUCUUGGGAACAACGUCAGUUAUCAUGCCAAUAUAUUCGGCAUUCGUGUUGCCUCACAUCCCACCCUUGGGUCCUCCUAGGAGACUUUAAUGAAAUCAUUGCUUAUGAGGAAAAGGAGGGGGGUAAUCAACGCCCAUUCUAGAUUAUACAAGUCUUUCGGGACUGUUUGAUGGAUUGUGACCAGGAUGAUGUGGGUUUCAAAGGUCACUGCUAUACAUGGAGGAGAAGAGAAAUACGAGAGAGAUUGGAUAGGGAUGUACGUGAUACGACAUGGCUAUGAAAUUUCCCCUUGGUUGCUCGCGUCCAUGAGGAGCACGUCUAUUCCAACCAUCGUCCUCUUGUUCUAGACACUGAAUACCAUGACCAGAAUUACAUACGGAAUCCUUUAGGUGGAAGACAAUUUGAGGCGAGAUGGCUUCAAGAGGAAAUUGUGAAUGCUAUUGUCACAACGGCGUGGAACGGGGCUAAGAUUGCGGGGCUGGGACCCUCGCUGACUUACCGAACAAAAGUAGUUCAUAUGGAAUUGCAUGAGUGUGACCGGGAAGUGCUAAUGGAGCCGAAGAAGCGUAUAAACAAGUUGAAGAAAGAACUAGAAAAGUUAAAAAGGGGUCUGAUAAAUGUUGAAUCAAGAAGUAGGCAAAAGGAGAUACAAAUUUUGAUAGAAAAUCUUCUCGACCAAGAGGGAAUACACUGGAUUCAGAGAGCCAGGGCCAACUGGCUACUACAUGGUGACUGUAAUACCUCCUUUUUUCAUAAUGCAGACACAGCGAGAAAGAAGAGAAACUAUAUCAAAAAACUGAUCAAUAGUGAUGGGGCUGUGUUUGAAGGUAUAUCACAAGUAAAAACAAAUCAUAUUACUGAUUAA